rnacentral:rRNA from 1 species
GGAAUUUUCCGCAAUGGGCGAAAGCCUGACGGAGCAACGCCGCGUGAGGGAUGGAGGCCUCUGGGCUGUAAACCUCUUUUAUCAAGGAAGAAGAUCUGACGGUACUUGAUGAAUAAGCCACGGCUAAUUCCGUGCCAGCAGCCGCGGUAAUACGGGAGUGGCAAGCGUUAUCCGGAAUUAUUGGGCGUAAAGCGUCCGCAGGCGGUCUGUCAAGUCUGCUGUUAAAGCGUGGAGCUUAACUCCAUUUCGGCAGUGGAAACUGACAGACUAGAGUGUGGUAGGGGCAGAGGGAAUUCCCGGUGUAGCGGUGAAAUGCGUAGAUAUCGGGAAGAACACCAGUGGCGAAGGCGCUCUGCUGGGCCAUAACUGACGCUCAUGGACGAAAGCCAGGGGAGCGAAAGGGAUUGGAUACCCCAGUAGUC